rnacentral:rRNA from 1 species
GACGAACGCUGGCGGCGUGCUUAACACAUGCAAGUCGAACGGGCCCGCCCCUGUUUUUGGGGGUGGGUUGAGUGGCGAACGGGUGAGUAUCACGUGAGUAACCUGCCCCCUGCUCCUGGAUAACUGCUUGAAAGGGCGGCUAAUACGGGGUGUGCCGGCUGGUCCGCAUGGGCCUGGUCGGGAUAGUUUCAUCUUCGGGUGUUUCGGUGGGGGAUGGGCUCGCGGCCUAUCAGCUUGUUGGUGGGGUGAUGGCCCACCAAGGCGGUGACGGGUAGCCGGCCUGAGAGGGUGGGCGGCCACACUGGGACUGAGACACGGCCCAGACUCCUGCGGGAGGCGGCAGUGGGGGGUAUUGCACAAUGGGCGGAAGCCUGAUGCAGCGACGUCGCGUGAGGGAUGGAGGCCUUCGGGUUGUGAACCUCUUUCUCCGGUGGUGAAGGCCCUGUCCGUUGCGGCGGGGUUGACGGUAGCCGGGUAUGAAGCGCCGGCUAACUACGUG